CGUAGCUCAGCUGGAUAGAGCAAGAGACUUCUAAUCUCUCGGUCGCAGGUUCGAAUCCUGCCGGG
rnacentral:tRNA from 1 species